rnacentral:rRNA from 1 species
UACGAAGGUGGCAAGCGUUACUCGGAAUUACUAGGCGUAAAGGGCAGGUAGGUGGUUCGAUAAGUCUGUUGUGAAAGCUCCUGGCUUAACUGGGAGAGGUCAACGGAAACUGCCGAGCUUGAGUAUAGGAGAGGGUACUGGAAUUCCCGGUGUAGCGGUGAAAUGCGCAGAUAUCGGGAGGAACACCAAUGGCGAAAGCAGGUACCUGGACUAUUACUGACACUCAGCUGCGAAAGCUAGGGGAGCAAACAGG